GUUAUUUAUAUCUACUUAGAAUGGGGGGGGUUAAUAGGAAAGCAACAAAGAAAUGGUAAAACUACAGAUCAACAUAAAAGAAUCCAGCACAGUUUUUUGAUCCGACGCAAAAUAACUAGACAGGUUUCUCUAGCUAGAAUCUUUUACACUAUUUGUUCAAAUCGGGGGCGCCAAAUGCAGGUGGUCUGUCAUUGGCAACACUGACUAUAAUGUUCCGGCCAUGGAGUUCCUGGUGACCAAUCAGAACAAGGUUUAAUAAAAGGGUUAUUUGUAAAGACUAAAAAUUAAUGGUGUAUCACUGUAUCUUAAAAAAUGGAUGAUAAAAAUUAAAAAACAAACCUUGCCAUUCGUGCUUGACAUGGCUUGGAUUGCUGCUUCAUCUGUUGAAAAUCCUAUAAAUCCAAACCCCCUUGAUCUCCCAGACAUUCUGUCCAAUGUCCAUGAUAACUCUUGCUGCCAUAAACUCACAAAAAUUAUAGAUAAAAGACAGAAGAACUGAAGAAGAUGUCUACAUAUAAGAACAAGAAGAUCAGUGCAGCAAUUGAUCAAUGUGGACAGUAAAUUGAAAAAUAAACUAUUCUUCCAAUCUUGGAUGGAAGAAUAGUUGUAGAAAAUUGGAUUUUGGCAAUGUGUGAUUGGUAAGUUGUGCAACCAAAAUGAGCUAUAAAAGAUACAAAUUCACUUCACCUACCCUCUGUCACUUCUCUAAAGUCAGAAAAUGCCUCUUUAAGAGUUUGAUCGUCCAUGUUGAAAUUUUAAAUUACAUGCUUUAUCUUCAAAUUUAAAUAUUUUUGAAAAUUCAACACAAAUAUUAGAAAUUUAUUUGACACAUCAUUGAGUGAUAAUAGAUUUGAUUGUAAAUAUCUAAUUUAUUUUUUCUAUUUUUUCCGUAUGUCAGGGAUCUUCACAGUAAUAAAUUGACAGGACCAAUUCCUCCACAAAUUGGAAAACUGAAGCAUCUGAGAUCAUUGUAUGUCAGUUAUAACUUAUAACUAAAUAGUAUUUAUAAAUGGUGCAACUUGAGUUUUGUGCCGUGCCAUCAUCUAUUUUUUGAAAGCAAAUAAAAAAUUUCAUUAUUAAAAUGAAGGGAAUUGCCCAGUUUACAUGGAGUUCGUGUCAUCAUUUUUUAAAUGUUCUGAAUUUUGAAUUUUAAUAAUUAAUACAGCAUUAGCAUAAAUUUGGACUAUUGCAAAAUUAUAAUAUCUUUAUAAAAGAAAAUAAUACAAUAGUUUUGUUGUGUGCUUAUUUGGCAUAAAGAAUACUCUUCCACUGUUUUUUCACUCAUUAUUGUAAGAAUAAACUUCAUGAUUAUUUGGAGAUAUCCAUCCUUAUUUUAAUACAUUUUUCAUUUAAAUAUUGAUUUUUAAGAGGUUUCUUUUUAUUUGUAUGUUAGGAGAUAGACUAAAAUGACUGAUCAAAUAGAAGGGCUUGACAAAUCAUGGUUAUUUGAAAGUUCAACCUCCAUGAAAUUUCAAAGUGGAUUGAAAAGUUUUUUAGAUUUUGCUGAAAUCUAUUCAAACCACAAGAUGGAGCCUGGAUUAAAACUACCAUGUCCUUGUUCAAAGUGUCACAAUGGCAAAUAUUAUAAUCAUAAGACCAUUAGUGAGCAUGUGGAAUGAUGGUGUUCAAACUUAUGACUCAGUGAAGAAAGAAACUUUUGUAAUGCGAGCGGCUUUGCUAUGGACAAUCAAUGACUAUCCAGCAUAUGGAAACUUAUCUGGAUGGAGUACUAAAGGAAAAGUUGCAUGUGGUGUAUGUUUGAACAAUACAUGUAGUUUAUAUUUGAAAGGGAGUCAAAAGACAUGUUUUAUGGGACAUCGUCGUUUUCUGGAUCCUUCACAUCCAUAUAAAAAAGAAAAAUCAAAGUUCAAUAAUAAAAUCGAAUUGGAUACAGCACCUCCAAUUAGAUCCGGUGAGGACAUACUAAAAGAGGCAAAAUUAUAUACUUUCGAAAAUAUAAUUAGUUUUACUUUCAAACUAUAUUCAAGAAUUGAUUUGUUGAAGUAUAAUCAAAUUUCAGUUGAACGAACUUCCAAAGAAAGCAUUAGGAAAAAGAAACUUCGGUACACCAGUUACAUUUGCAGAAGGAUGGAAGAAGAAAAGUAUAUUCUUUUCUUUGCCCUAUUGGAAAUCACUUUUGAUUCGGCAUAAUCUUGAUGUAAUGCACAUCGAGAAAAAUAUCUGUGACAACAUAGUUAAUACGAUGCUUAAUGUAGUGAACAAAUCCAAGGAUAAUUGGAAAGCGAGAGAAGAUUUUAAACAUCAAGGAAUUCGCAGAAAUCUUCAUGCAUACAAAAAAGAUAAUGGAAAGUGGCACAUCCCCUUUGUGCCGUUUUCUAUGACCUUAGAUCAAAGAAAAUUAUUUUGUACAAUAUUGAAGUCAAUUAGGGUUCCAGAUGGAUAUUCUUCAAAUAUUUCAAGAAAUGUGAAUUCAAAAGACAAGAAGCUUAUGCAACUUAAAAGUCAUGAUUGUCAUAUACUAAUGCAACAAUUAUUGCCUAUUGCAUUGAUAAAUUCAUGUUCCAAAGAUGUUUGUUCUUCGAUAGUAGAAUUAUGCAACUACUUCCAUGAUUUGUGUUCCAAUACUCUGAAUAUCGAUCAUUUAAAUCAAAUGGAAAAGAACAUAUCGAUAACGUUAUGCAAAUUGGAACAGAUAUUUCCGCCAUCUUUCUUCACAGUAAUGGUUCAUUUGUCAGUUCACCUUGCAACUGAGGCAAAAGUGGCAGGACCAGUGCAUUAUCGGUGGAUGUAUCCUAUUGAAAGGUACUUGAAAACAUUAAAAGGUUAUGUUAGGAAUAAAAGCCAACCUGAGGGGAGUAUUGCUGAAUAAUAUAUUGUCGAAGAAUGUUUAAUAUUUUGUUCUCGUUAUUUGUCAGAAAAUGUUGAAACAAAAUCCAAUAGACCUGAUCGUAAUUGUAAUGGGUAUAUUGGCAAAGCUACACACACUAAUCUUGAUGAUAAGAUAUUUGAGCAAGCACAUCAAUAUGUGUUAUUCAAUAUAGAUGAAAUAACGAGUUUUAUAGAACUUCAUGUGGAUGUCAUUCGUCGCAGUUAUCCGGGAAUGAAUCCCAAACAUAUAGAAAGAAAGCAUCAUGAAAAAUUUCGAAGAUGGUUCAAAGAUCAUAUAGAUACAUGUCCUAAAGUAAAAUUUAGCAUUUGGCGACUUUCACGUGGUCCAAAUAUAGAUAUGAAAAAAUUCAAAGGAUAUAGAAUGAAUGGUAUUAAGUUUCUUUGUACGUCGAGUUCGGUGAAACUGAAGACUCAAAAUGAUGGGAUUUUAGUGUCGGCCGAGACAUCAUGUUAUUUAAGUGUUAGAGAUCUAAACCCAAUAGUGAAUCAACAAAACUAUUAUGGAAGAUUAAAUUAUGUUGUUGAACUACAAUAUGGACCAAAUCAUGUAGAAACACUCUUUCAAUGCAAUUGGUUUGAUGGACAAUCUACAAAUGGGAUACAAGUUGAUACAUUUGGUAUUAUAUCUAUAAACACUAAACGAUUAAAACACCAAGACGAACCAUUUAUCUUGGCAGCACAAGCACAACAAUGUUUCUAUGUGGAUGAUCCUAAAAAAUUAGAUUGGAGUGUUGUAUUGAAAAGGCCACCUCGAGAUUUGUAGUGCUUAAUUAUGGAUUGCUUAUAUAUUAUUUGUGAGUUAUUUUUUAAUUUAUUUAUUUUUCUGUUUUUAUUGAUUUUAAGUGCUGAAUAUUUUGUUGUGUUCACAGAUUAUAAAUGGCAGGCAAAAAAGCAUUGGUUAGUAAAAAACAACGACUUACACGAAGUUCUGUCGACCAUGAAGAACCUUCUGCAAGUACUCAUGUUCCGAC
rnacentral:lncRNA from 1 species